GUAGCGCACUCCACUGGGUC
rnacentral:misc_RNA from 1 species